ACGAACGCUGGCGGCGUGCUUAACACAUGCAAGUCGAACGGAGCACCCUUGAUUGAGGUUUCGACCAAAUGAUAGGAAUGCUUAGUGGCGGACUGGUGAGUAACGCGUGAGGAACCUGCCUUUCAGAGGGGGACAACAGUUGGAAACGACUGCUAAUACCGCAUAAGCCCACGGGUCGGCAUCGACCAGAGGGAAAAGGAGCAAUCCGCUUUGAGAUGGCCUCGCGUCCGAUUAGCUAGUUGGUGAGGUAACGGCCCACCAAGGCGACGAUCAGUAGCCGGACUGAGAGGUUGACCGGCCACAUUGGGACUGAGAUACGGCCCAGACUCCUACGGGAGGCAGCAGUGGGGAAUAUUGGGCAAUGGGCGCAAGCCUGACCCAGCAACGCCGCGUGAAGGAAGAAGGCUUUCGGGUUGUAAACUUCUUUUAAGUGGGAAGAGUAGAAGACGGUACCACUUGAAUAAGCCACGGCUAACUACGUGCCAGCAGCCGCGGUAAUACGUAGGUGGCAAGCGUUGUCCGGAUUUACUGGGUGUAAAGGGCGUGCAGCCGGGCAUGCAAGUCAGAUGUGAAAUCUCAGGGCUUAACCCUGAAACUGCAUUUGAAACUGUAUGUCUUGAGUGCCGGAGAGGUAAUCGGAAUUCCUUGUGUAGCGGUGAAAUGCGUAGAUAUAAGGAAGAACACCAGUGGCGAAGGCGGAUUACUGGACGGUAACUGACGGUGAGGCGCGAAAGCGUGGGGAGCGAACAGGAUUAGAUACCCUGGUAGUCCACGCUGUAAACGAUGGAUACUAGGUGUGCGGGGACUGACCCCCUGCGUGCCGCAGUUAACACAAUAAGUAUCCCACCUGGGGAGUACGAUCGCAAGGUUGAAACUCAAAGGAAUUGACGGGGGCCCGCACAAGCGGUGGAUUAUGUGGUUUAAUUCGAAGCAACGCGAAGAACCUUACCAGGUCUUGACAUCCUGCUAACGAAGUAGAGAUACAUUAGGUGCCCUUCGGGGAAAGCAGAGACAGGUGGUGCAUGGUUGUCGUCAGCUCGUGUCGUGAGAUGUUGGGUUAAGUCCCGCAACGAGCGCAACCCCUAUUGUUAGUUGCUACGCAAGAGCACUCUAGCGAGACUGCCGUUGACAAAACGGAGGAAGGUGGGGACGACGUCAAAUCAUCAUGCCCCUUAUGACCUGGGCUACACACGUAAUACAAUGGCGGUCAACAAAGGGAUGCAAAGCCGCGAGGCAGAGCGAACCCCAAAAAGCCGUCCCAGUUCGGAUCGCAGGCUGCAACCCGCCUGCGUGAAGUCGGAAUCGCUAGUAAUCGUGGGUCAGCAUACCACGGUGAAUACGUUCCCGGGCCUUGUACACACCGCCCGUCACACCAUGAGAGUCGGGAACACCCGAAGUCCGUAGCCUAACCGCAAGGAGGGCGCGGCCGAAGGUGGGUUCGAUAAUUGGGGUG
rnacentral:rRNA from 1 species